rnacentral:piRNA from 1 species
AAUAGAGUGGUUUUGAACGUAUCUCGUGCC